CGGCAAAUGCGCCGAACGGCGCGGGAGGGUCUAAGUCGGUAGCACUGUAGCCUAUGGGAGAUACAUUCUUAAUGCAGUCAACUUUCAAACACAAAUGUGUUUUUGUCUGUAAUUAAAUGUAAAACAAAGAGAAUAGUUCACUUGUAACUGAGGACGUAAUAAUCUUGGGAUAAGUGUCUAAAUAGUGUCACAUUGCAGCUGAUUGCCUGUAAAACAAAUGGAUAAAACAUCAUUAUCUUU
rnacentral:sRNA from 1 species